AAAGUCGUAACAAGGUUUCCGUAGGUGAACCUGCGGAAGGAUCAUUAUUGAAUAAACUUGGUUAGGUUGUUGCUGGCUCUUAGGAGCAUGUGCACGCCGACUCCAUUUUUAACCACCUGUGCACCUUGCGUAGAUCUGAUACUCUCGAGGAAACUCGGUUUGAGAAUUGCUGUGCAACAAAAGGCCAGCUCUUCUUGUAUUCAGGUCUAUGUUUCUACAUACCCCACAUGAAUGUAUUUUGAAUGUCGUCAUUGGCCUUGUGCCUUUAAAAACAAAUACAACUUUCAACAACGGAUCUCUUGGCUCUC
rnacentral:misc_RNA from 1 species